rnacentral:rRNA from 1 species
AUUCCAGCUCCAAUAGCGUAUAUUAAAGUUGUUGCAGUUAAAAAGCUCGUAGUUGGAUUUCUGGGAGGGUGCCAAUGUCCGCCGACGUGCGUGCGCAGCGGCGCCCUUCCAUCCUUCUGUUAACGCCUCUUGGCAUUCAUUUGCUGGUGGCGGGCUCAGAUAUUUUACCUUGAGAAAAUUAGAGUGUUUCAGGCAGGCUAGGCCGGAAUACAUUAGCAUGGAAUAAUGGAAUAGGACUACGGUCUCUUUGUUGGUUUGAGGGACUGCAGUAAUGAUUAAUAGGGAUAGUUGGGGGCAUUAGUAUUUAAUUGUCAGAGGUGGAAUUCUCGGAUUUGUUAAAGACUAACUUAUGCGAAAGCAUUUGCCAAGGAUGUUUUCAUUG